rnacentral:rRNA from 1 species
GACGAACGCUGGCGGCGUGCCUCAGACAUGCAAGUCGAACGAUUAAGACUUCCUUCGGGAAGUGCAUAAAGUGGCGCACGGGUGAGUAACACGUAAGUAAUCUACCCUCGAGUGGGGAAUAACGUUCGGAAACGGACGCUAAUACCGCAUAACGCAGCGGCACCGCAAGGUGACAGUUGUUAAAGGAGCAAUCCGCUUGAGGAGGAGCUUGCGGCAGAUUAGCUAGUUGGUAAGGUAAUGGCUUACCAAGGCUACGAUCUGUAUCCGGUCUAAGAGGACGGUCGGACACACUGACACUGAAUAACGGGUCAGACUCCUACGGGAGGCAGCAGUCGGGAAUUUUGGGCAAUGGGCGAAAGCCUGACCCAGCAACGCCGCGUGAAGGAUGAAGUAUUUCGGUAUGUAAACUUCGAAAGAAUAGGAAGAAUAAAUGACGGUACUAUUUAUAAGCUCCGGCUAACUACGUG